GAAAUGCGAUAAGUAAUGUGAAUUGCAGAAUUCAGUGAAUCAUCGAAUCUUUGAACGCACCUUGCGCUCCUUGGUAUUCCGAGGAGCAUGCCUGUUUGAGUGUCAUGAAACCCUCAAACCCAAGUUUUGGAUUUCGGUCCAUGCUUGGGUUUGGAUUUGGAUGUUUGCCGGUGAUGAACCGACUCAUCUUAAAAGUAUUAGCGGGUAGUCCUACUUGAUUUGAGGACAUCUUCGGAUGGCCAGUACCUAGACUACUGUCUGCUAACUAAACCAUCACUUUAAGUGCAUCUUUGGAUGUUACUCAUUGUGUAACUUUGACAUCUGGCCUCAAAUCAAGUAGGACUACCCGCUGAACUUAA
rnacentral:misc_RNA from 1 species